GACGAACGCUGGCGGCGUGCUUAACACAUGCAAGUCGAACGGAAAGGCCCUGCUUUUGUGGGGUUCUCGAGUGGCGAACGGGUGAGUAACACGUGAGUAACCUGCCCUUGUCUUUCGGGGAACUUCAGGAAACUGGGGCUAAUAUCGGAUAGGAGCUCCUGCUGCAUGGUGGGGAUUGGAAAGUUUCGGCGGUAGGGGAUGGACUCGCGGCUUAUGGGCUUGUUGGUGGGGUAGUGGUUUACCAAGGGUUUGAAGGAUAGCCGGCAUGAGAGGGUGACCGGGGUCAAUGGGCCUGCGGUACGCAGCAGAGGGCAAUGGGAGGCAGUGGGCGGAAGUAUGACACAAUGGGCGCGAGUCGGUUACAGAGACGUUGGGUUCGUGAUGACCGCUUUCGGGGUGUGAACAGCUGUCGCCUGUGACGAAGCGUGAGUGACGGUAACGGAUAAAGAAGCACCGGCUAACUACGUG
rnacentral:rRNA from 1 species